GUACUAAUUUUAUUCCAUUUAAAAUGAUACAGAAUUAUUUCUCUUUCCUUCUUUGCCUAAAGGUCAUCUAUAAUUGAGGACAAAUUAGCAAGAGUCCAGAGGCUGAGCAUGGCUUUGAUCAGGGUGUCCAGCCUUUCUCAGUGCAAACCAUUCUGUGGAGAAAGGACAGGACACAGGAAGAAUGAACCAGAAAAUCUGACCUUCCAUUUCUAAUUUAGAAAUGAUUCUGGAGAGCUCUCACCAGGUAAUCUGAUC
rnacentral:lncRNA from 1 species